rnacentral:rRNA from 1 species
GACGAACGCUGGCGGCGUGCCUAACACAUGCAAGUCGAGCGGAGAUACAUUGAAGAGCAAUCAGAUAUGUAUCUUAGCGGCGGACGGGUGAGUAACGCGUGGGCAACCUGCCUCAUACUGGGGGAUAACACAGGGAAACUUGUGCUAAUACCGCAUAAUAUCAUUAUAGGGCAUCCUGUGAUGAUCAAAGGAGCAAUCCGGUGUGAGAUGGGCCCGCGUCCAAUUAGCUAGUUGGUGGGGUAACGGCCCACCAAGGCGACGAUUGGUAGCCGAACUGAGAGGUUGAUCGGCCACAUUGGGACUGAGACACGGCCCAGACUCCUACGGGAGGCAGCAGUGGGGAAUAUUGCGCAAUGGGGGAAACCCUGACGCAGCAACGCCGCGUGAAGGAUGAAGGUCUUCGGAUUGUAAACUUCUUUGAUGAGGGACGAACACAAUGACGGUACCUCAAAACAAGCCACGGCUAACUACGUGCCAGC